GUAUGCAACCUACCCUUUACAGGGGGAUAACACUGAGAAAUCGGUACUAAUACCCCAUAAUAUUCCGGGAGGCAUCUUUCGGAGUUGAAAGCUUUGGUGGUAAAGGAUGGGCAUGCGUCGUAUUAGCUAGUUGGUAAGGUAACGGCUUACCAAGGCGACGAUACAUAGGGGGACUGAGAGGUUAACCCCCCACAUUGGUACUGAGACACGGACCAAACUCCUACGGGAGGCAGCAGUGAGGAAUAUUGGUCAAUGGACGGAAGUCUGAACCAGCCAUGCCGCGUGCAGGAAGACGGCUCUAUGAGUUGUAAACUGCUUUUGUACGAGGGUAAACGCAGAUACGUGUAUCUGCCUGAAAGUAUCGUACGAAUAAGGAUCGGCUAACUCCGUGCCAGCAGCCGCGGUAAUACGGAGGAUCCAAGCGUUAUCCGGAUUUAUUGGGUUUAAAGGGUGCGUAGGCGGUUUAGUAAGUCAGCGGUGAAAUUUUGGUGCUUAACACCAAACGUGCCGUUGAUACUGCUGGGCUAGAGAGUAGUUGCGGUAGGCGGAAUGUAUGGUGUAGCGGUGAAAUGCUUAGAGAUCAUACAGAACACCGAUUGCGAAGGCAGCUUACCAAACUAUAUCUGACGUUGAGGCACGAAAGCGUGGGGAGCAAACAGGAUUAGAUACCCUGGUAGUCCACGCAGUAAACGAUGAUAGCUCGUUGUCGGCGAUACACAGUCGGUGACUAAGA
rnacentral:rRNA from 1 species